rnacentral:rRNA from 1 species
GACGAACGCUGGCGGCGUGCUUAACACAUGCAAGUCGAACGGAAAGGCCCUGCUUUUGUGGGGUGCUCGAGUGGCGAACGGGUGAGUAACACGUGAGUAACCUGCCCUUGACUUUGGGAUAACUUCAGGAAACUGGGGCUAAUACCGGAUAGGAGCUCCUGCUGCAUGGCGGGGGUUGGAAAGUUUCGGCGGUUGGGGAUGGACUCGCGGCUUAUCAGCUUGUUGGUGGGGUAGUGGCUUACCAAGGCUUUGACGGGUAGCCGGCCUGAGAGGGCGACCGGCCACAUUGGGACUGAGAUACGGCCCAGACUCCUACGGGAGGCAGCAGUGGGGAAUAUUGCACAAUGGGCGGAAGCCUGAUGCAGCAACGCCGCGUGCGGGAUGACGGCCUUCGGGUUGUAAACCGCUUUCGCCUGUGACGAAGCGUGAGUGACGGUAAUGGGUAAAGAAGCACCGGCUAACUACGUG